GACCAAUGUUGGGUCUAGUCUUUCAGAGUAGUUCUGAGUGAGCUAAGUAGCUAGUUGUUAAAACUGCUCUGUUGCCUUUUGAUCAAGAAUGCACCGAUUGGGGCGUCAGUCGGUAAUCCGGGGUGUUGACUCAUGAGUAAGGUGGGCGGUAGAGGCAUUGUAUCCCUUGGUGAGCUGGUACGAAGGUUUGAAUUAUCACCAGAAAAGGAAAAAGGAGUGGCUCUCUUGGAAGGCGGAUUGUAUUGCUGAGUCAAUGAGGGACACAUCUAAAUAGUACACGCGUAAGAGGGAGCCAAGGG
rnacentral:lncRNA from 1 species